rnacentral:lncRNA from 1 species
UCAUUCUUAGGUAUUCUCCUUGCCUUUUUCCAGGGAUGACGCUGUGUUUCAGAGGAAUUCAUAAGCAGAAUUGAAUUUGUUUUAGUUAACUCCUUAUUUGAUUGGAAUAUUGUCGACUUAACAAAAUAGUAGAAAGAGCAUUGGGCUGAAGUGAGAAGAUUUGAAUUCUAGUCCAAAAUCUGUUACUAACCAGCUCUUUGACCCUGAGAAGUCAUUUGACUUGAAUUAUAGUCUUUUUCUUAUAUGGGAAAGGUGGAGUAUACUCAGAGUCUCUCCUAAGUGCUAAGAUUCUGUGAUUCUAUGAAAUCAGACCAUCAGAGAGGAAUACUGCAGUGUUCUCCUGCAUGGGUUGUAAAUGAGAAAAAAGAAAGAAGGAGAGCAAAAUGACUUAAAGACAUUUUCAAGAAAAAAAGAGGAGAGAAGUCACUGAAAUGGAAAAAUAAACAUAUUAUAUAACUAUUUAUUGCACUAUGCAAUAAAAACAUCUUCAGCAACAGCCACACAAGUGCGGGUAGAGGGUCUGCUUUGAAGAGAGAAAAAAGGCUGCUGCAGAAAAAACAAACCUCAAUUCAUAAUUGGAGCUUUUGUUCUUUCUGGAUUGUUUUGUGAAGAACAUGCUGCCAAAAAACAUUUUUCUUCUGUAACCGCUUCUUUUGAAACUCCAUUCUUUUUUAUUUCAAGGAUGUUUAUUAUCUACUCAUUUCUUUUUAUUUAUUUUUGAAUCAUAUACCCCAAUGUCUAGAUGACUGGGACCACUAGGUUUCAUAUUUCCCAGAUGAGAUUAGUUGUACAGUUCAUUUUGCAGGUUUAUUCAGAGCAUUUCAAUGGCAUUUCACCUACAGUUCACCUAUAUUGAGUCCUAAGAAAUUGAAGGUGUUUCUUGAUAGUUCUCCUGCUCCAUCUUCUUCCAGGGGAUUGAUUUGGCUUCUUAUGUUUUUGUAUUUGGUUGCUCAUUAGAGAUAAGCCUGAUUAUUUGGCAUUGUGUAUUUUCUCUGUUUUAAAAAGGGAAAAUACAACAUGUUAUUAAUUAUUAUGAUAUAAUAAAAAAUGGAGAGAAGGAAAA